UACGUAGGGGGCAAGCGUUGUCCGGAAUCAUUGGGCGUAAAGAGCUUGUAGGCGGUUUGUCGCGUCUGCCGUGAAAAUUCGAGGCUCAACCUCGAACUUGCGGUGGGUACGGGCAGACUAGAGUGUGGUAGGGGAGACUGGAAUUCCUGGUGUAGCGGUGAAAUGCGCAGAUAUCAGGAGGAACACCGAUGGCGAAGGCAGGUCUCUGGGCCACUACUGACGCUGAGAAGCGAAAGCAUGGGGAGCGAACAGG
rnacentral:rRNA from 1 species